rnacentral:lncRNA from 1 species
AAAGAGCUUGUCAGAAAAAAGGGAUACUACAGCUGACAGAGUCAUUGCUACUUAAUUACAAUAGAAACUCAAUAUUUCAGUUAUAUCUCUUGUUAAUUCCUACACACCACUGUGUAAGUGAAGCAGAAGAGUAGCAACAACAGUAGCUGUAUAGAACAGAAAAUAAAGUGAUUCCUGGGUUAUUGUAUUAACUAUUUCUUUUAAUAAUGGUCAUAAACUGUAAAAUGGUCAUUGGGAGUGGGUCACUGAUACUUAUUACAGACUUGAUCAUCAUGAAAUCUGAUUUACAUUACAAGGGGAAGCAUAUAUGAGCAAUGUAAAAACAGGCCUUUGUCAAUUUUACCACAAAUGUUGUGAAAGUUUCUAAUAACCAUGACAAUAUUAGCCUUCAUCAUGUUGUAUCUAUCUGGAUCUGUCUGGUACAAUCAGAUCUGCUCUCAUCUUGAUAGGUAUGUUUCUGUGAUAUGGCGUACUGUAGUGACAGUCAAUGCAGAAGAGAAGACAGGGUAGACAGUUUCCACAUGCUAACAUGCUCGCCUCCCUCACUAUUUCUUCCCUGCAGGGUGGCAGGUUUUGUGGGCAGCCUGCUUCUUCUCGGUCCUGGCACCUGGAGUGUAAGUGGAUGCUGCUGAGGGGAAUGACGGGCUUCACCCGCUGGUGCCAGGCAUACUUGGUUCCCGAGAAGACAAGUCAAAGGACUCUAGUUUUAUUGACACUUGGAAAUACAAAGAAAAGCCAAAUUCUGUAUUCUUAUCCCGACGCAGUAUCUUCACAGGACUGUUUCCGUCUCUACUGAAUAAUCCCAUCUUGCCAGAAUCAAACACAAAGCAACAAGUCACCGUGCAGCUCCCUGUUUGUACAGUAGCAUGCAUUAUUUAUGAGGCAGCCUGUGCUGUGUGCGUCCAAAAUCAAAUAAGCCUUCUUGUAUUACAGCACUGUUCUGUUAACCCUCCAUCCACCCUGUCACCCACCCCAUUGCCAGUCAGCGGCAUGUGCAUUUGAGUGGAUUUGU